UGGGUUGUGGCUCAGUGGUAGAGUGCUCGCCUAGCAUGCUUGAGGCACUGGGAUCGAUUCUCAGCACUGCAU
rfam:Ictidomys tridecemlineatus contig051924, whole genome shotgun sequence.